GGAUGAACGCUGGCGGCGUGCCUAAUACAUGCAAGUCGAGCGAACGGACGAGAAGCUUGCUUCUCUGAUGUUAGCGGCGGACGGGUGAGUAACACGUGGAUAACCUACCUAUAAGACUGGGAUAACUUCGGGAAACCGGAGCUAAUACCGGAUAAUAUUUUGAACCGCAUGGUUCAAAAGUGAAAGACGGUCUUGCUGUCACUUAUAGAUGGAUCCGCGCUGCAUUAGCUAGUUGGUAAGGUAACGGCUUACCAAGGCAACGAUGCAUAGCCGACCUGAGAGGGUGAUCGGCCACACUGGAACUGAGACACGGUCCAGACUCCUACGGGAGGCAGCAGUAGGGAAUCUUCCGCAAUGGGCGAAAGCCUGACGGAGCAACGCCGCGUGAGUGAUGAAGGUCUUCGGAUCGUAAAACUCUGUUAUUAGGGAAGAACAUAUGUGUAAGUAACUGUGCACAUCUUGACGGUACCUAAUCAGAAAGCCACGGCUAACUACGUGCCAGCAGCCGCGGUAAUACGUAGGUGGCAAGCGUUAUCCGGAAUUAUUGGGCGUAAAGCGCGCGUAGGCGGUUUUUUAAGUCUGAUGUGAAAGCCCACGGCUCAACCGUGGAGGGUCAUUGGAAACUGGAAAACUUGAGUGCAGAAGAGGAAAGUGGAAUUCCAUGUGUAGCGGUGAAAUGCGCAGAGAUAUGGAGGAACACCAGUGGCGAAGGCGACUUUCUGGUCUGUAACUGACACUGAUGUGCGAAAGCGUGGGGAUCAAACAGGAUUAGAUACCCUGGUAGUCCACGCCGUAAACGAUGAGUGCUAAGUGUUAGGGGGUUUCCGCCCCUUAGUGCUGCAGCUAACGCAUUAAGCACUCCGCCUGGGGAGUACGACCGCAAGGUUGAAACUCAAAGGAAUUGACGGC
rnacentral:rRNA from 1 species